GCUAUUCAAAUCUUAAUCUCCAUGCCCUAUAUAUAAUAUGUUGGGCAACCAACUACGGCAAUAAACUGAUGUAUGGAAUAGACGUUGCGGACCCGGGGGCGGUACCCGGCGCCUCCACCAUUUAUGGGGGCGAAAUAGGAUCGACGUGCGUAAUAAAGAUAUAACUUUUGCUCAGCAUGAUACCGCUGUGACGGGUCAAAAUUUGUAGAUGCAAACGAUAAUAACGAAGCAUUUGCUGUAGCUGCCUAAUAGGUUAGUUACGCGGGGUCCGAAGGGCACCUAGCAACAGAAGCCCUUCACU
rnacentral:tmRNA from 1 species